AUCCAGCUGACUAGUCCGAAACAGGAUGAAACGCGCGUUCUGGAU
rnacentral:hammerhead_ribozyme from 1 species